AUUGAACGCUGGCGGCAGGCCUAACACAUGCAAGUCGAGCGGUAACAGUCCUUCGGGAGCUGACGAGCGGCGGACGGGUGAGUAACGCGUAGGAAUCUACCCAGUAGCGGGGGAUAGCCCGGGGAAACUCGGAUUAAUACCGCAUACGCCCUAAGGGGGAAAGCAGGGGAUCUUCGGACCUUGUGCUAUUGGAUGAGUCUGCGUUGGAUUAGCUAGUUGGUAGGGUAAAGGCCUACCAAGGCGACGAUCCAUAGCUGGUCUGAGAGGAUGAUCAGCCACACUGGGACUGAGACACGGCCCAGACUCCUACGGGAGGCAGCAGUGGGGAAUAUUGGACAAUGGGGGCAACCCUGAUCCAGCCAUGCCGCGUGUGGGAAGAAGGCCUUCGGGUUGUAAAGCACUUUAAGUAGGGAGGAAGGCUCUGUGGCUAAUAUCCACGGGGAUUGACGUUACCUACAGAAUAAGCACCGGCUAACUCCGUGCCAGCCGCCGCUGUAACAC
rnacentral:rRNA from 1 species